rnacentral:lncRNA from 1 species
AGCUGUAAGUAAAAAUCCUGUUGCUUCAGCAGGUCUAACCAGUUUCGUAAAGGGCUUAUAUUUUCUGUAAUGCUACUUCAGGCAGCAAACUUUAAACAGAUUUUUGUUUAAAUAACAUUUAAUGCAAUUCAUGUCGUUAUUCAUUGAAAUUAUUUGGAACAAGAAUUUUUAGCAAAAUUAUAUUUCACUUACAGAUAAAUCCUAUCUUGAAAACUCUUUUGUCAAACAGAUCUCCCUGAAAGCAAUGCUAACACAGCAACUGUGGUGCUGCUUAGAAGGUUGAAUUUCUGUGAAUAUCCAACAAAAUCAUUUUGGCUGUCUCCAAGAGAGCACUAUGUGAGCCAGCUGUCCUGGAUUCCUCCUGCUGUCAACAGUUAAGCAGCAGGGUCACAUGCUGCUGUCCAACUAGUCAAAACUAACACUGCAGCUGAAACAAGCAGCCUGUCUGCUCUGUGAGGUGUGUCAGCUCUUCUCAAAGCACUGUUCCCACCCUCGACUAAUCUAGAAUGAUUUGGUCUGAUCUGGAGAGACUAACUGAAGAGGGUCUUUGCAUGAAGCAGUAGAUAAGACUGUCAUCUCCUAAUGAAUUUGAGGUAGCAU